rnacentral:rRNA from 1 species
GAUGAACGCUAGCUACAGGCUUAACACAUGCAAGUCGAGCGACCGGCGCAUGGGUGAGUAACACGUAUCCAACCUGCCUUUUACUCGUGGAUAGCCUUUCGAAAGAAAGAUCAAUACCCGACGUUAAGGAUGGGGAUGCGUUCCAUUAGGUUGUUGGUGAGGUAACGGCUCACCAAGCCUUCGAUGGAUAGGGGUUCUGAGAGGAGGGUCCCCCACAUUGGAACUGGGACACAGUCCAAACUCCUACGGGAGGCAGCAGUGAGGAAUAUUGGUCAAUAGGCGUUAGCCUGAACCAGCCAGGUAGCGUGAAGGAUGAUAGCUUAUAGGUCGUAAACUUCUUUUAUAUAAGAAUAUGUAUUAUAUGAAUAAGGAUCGGCUAACUCCGUGCCAGCAGCCGCGGUAAUAC